rnacentral:rRNA from 1 species
GAUCAUGGCUCAGGAUGAACGCUAGCUACAGGCUUAACACAUGCAAGUCGAGGGCAGCAUUAUCGAAGCUUGCUUGAUAGAUGGCGACCGGCGCACGGGUGAGUAACGCGUAUCCAACCUUCCCCAUAGUCAGGAAUAGCCCGGCGAAAGUCGAAUUAAUGCCUGAUGUUUUCCACGGACGGCAUCCGAUGUGGAACAAAGAUUGAUCGCUAUGGGAUGGGGAUGCGUCUGAUUAGCUUGUUGGCGGGGUAACGGCCCACCAAGGCAACGAUCAGUAGGGGUUCUGAGAGGAAGGUCCCCCACAUUGGAACUGAGACACGGUCCAAACUCCUACGGGAGGCAGCAGUGAGGAAUAUUGGUCAAUGGGCGGAAGCCUGAACCAGCCAAGUAGCGUGAGGGAUGACUGCCCUAUGGGUUGUAAACCUCUUUUAUAAGGGAAUAAAAUACGGGACGUGUCCUGUUUUGCAUGUACCUUAUGAAUAAGGACCGGCUAAUUCCGUG